rnacentral:rRNA from 1 species
UACGUAGGGUGCAAGCGUUGUCCGGAAUUAUUGGGCGUAAAGGGCUCGUAGGCGGUCCAUCGCGUCAGGAGUGAAAACUCGGGGCUUAACCCCGAGCCUGCUUCUGAUACGGGCAGACUAGAGGUAUGCAGGGGAGAACGGAAUUCCUGGUGUAGCGGUGAAAUGCGCAGAUAUCAGGAGGAACACCGAUGGCGAAGGCAGGUCUCUGGGCCAUAACUGACGCUGAGAAGCGAAAGCAUGGGGAGCGAACAGG